AUUACAUUUUAUUACAAAUUUUCUAUUUAAUGAAUAUGAUGUCUUUCUCUUUUUUCAAUAGAAAUGAAUAUAACACAUACGUGUAAAGUUUUGCGCCUCUCUAAUAGAUUUAACACAAAUGAAAAAAUUUCUUUAAUCACAUACAGAAAUGAAACAUCUCUACAAUACGGUUGAAGCUGUCGAGUAUCUUCAGAUAAUAUCACUAGUUAAAAAAGUGAUUAUCGGUGUUUUCGAUGAAAAUAUGCAGGGAUGAAUUGCCAAGUUAGAUGAUAAUUUUUUGAAUUUUCCGCUAUAAAAAUCGAUAAUUUUCAAAAAAUUGGAAAGUUAUUGAUUCAGAUCUCCAGGUUUUGAAGUCUUAAGGAGCUAUUCUGAUUAUUUUUACGAGGAUGUCAGUGUUAUCAGUACAUCUGUAACUUUCUCAUUCGGGCUCAAAAAUUUUUUAAAGUCGUAUUUGUGAGCAUGAAUAGCUGAAAAGUGGGUAAUAGGAAAUUUUUGGAGCGUUUUGAGCUUGAAAAUAGCAGCAAGUUCCAGGGAUGUCCUUCAGGGUCAAUCGAUUUAAAUAUUUUUCUUUCUUAGUAACUAGAUAUCAGCUAAAAACGAGUUUCGCGAUAAUUGACUUCAUAUGCAGAUUGUGUCAGAGUGGUGAGUAGAAUAUAAAAAAUGUUGUUGUUUAUGAAUUAAGACUUUUUGAAACAUGAAAUUUAGGACAUGUCUAUUGAAUUUAAAUAAAUUUAUUAAAAAUUAUCUUACAACAAUCAUCUCUUUGGCAGCAGGGAAAGUCAUUUUAAGGUUUCUAAAACUUAACAUUACAUGUGGUUAUUUAGUCAACGGAUUAAGAAUUUUACAUACAUGUUAUUUUUGCUGAUCACAUAACUGAUGAAUUGUUCUUAUUGUGGGAUCGCGAUACUCAAACACUUGAUAUG